CUUGCCCUGUGGCCUGUGUUUUUUAUUACUAAAGCUAUUUUUGCUUUUUAGUAUCUGGAACCAUGGCUGGGAAGAUGAUAAAUACAUCUAGGGCAGGGGCUGCCCUUCUUCGUCCCUGCUGCUGUUCCAAAGGAGUGACAAAGGUGUCUCCUUGGAAGAUCCAACACUGUGGGAUCAGAAAUCUUUUCAAGGAAUUAAAAAGAUAAACAGGAGUGGAAAGAAUUUUAUCACUGGAAGGCUUCACUGGAGAUUCCUUGGCUUUCACAGAAUUCUGUGUGAGUGCUGCCAUCCUCCUGGGUAUGGAUCAGUGGGAAAGCAUCCACACCACUUCAGGUGGGAAAUUUCUGUCCCAGUGACGUAGAUCUGAGUCUCUUUGAGAUCAGGGUGUCACUAUAAUAGCUGUUAUGAGAUCUUUUAUAUGAUUUUUGUAUCUGUUUGGGUCCCUGUAGCUGUGAUCUGAUGGGAACGUGCUGGGGGCCUGUUCAGUGCUGGGUUUGCAGCAAUUCCUGCUGUACCUUUGAUUUGUCAGCAGGCAGCACUUUUAUGGCAGCUCUGUUGAAAUUCAGCUCGACCUAUUAGAAAUAAUAAUCGUGUUUAAGCCAGUACAGACAAAGCACUCCCGUGAAGUAGUAAGGUGUGACUGGAUUAAUUUGCUUGUGACUGGUUUAUUUGUGCAUCUUUUAUGAGGGUAAUUACAGCCUUCCACCUGAGUAAUGGGAAGCAAUUGUCUGUCCAGGCUGGAGGAGGGGAAGGAGGGGUU
rnacentral:lncRNA from 1 species